GAUGAACGCUGGCGGCGUGCUUAACACAUGCAAGUCGAACGAUGAAGCCCAGCUUGCUGGGUGGAUUAGUGGCGAACGGGUGAGUAACACGUGAGUAACCUGCCCUUAACUCUGGGAUAAGCCUGGGAAACUGGGUCUAAUACCGGAUAGGAGCGUCCACCGCAUGGUGGGUGUUGGAAAGAUUUAUCGGUUUUGGAUGGACUCGCGGCCUAUCAGCUUGUUGGUGAGGUAAUGGCUCACCAAGGCGACGACGGGUAGCCGGCCUGAGAGGGUGACCGGCCACACUGGGACUGAGACACGGCCCAGACUCCUACGGGAGGCAGCAGUGGGGAAUAUUGCACAAUGGGCGCAAGCCUGAUGCAGCGACGCCGCGUGAGGGAUGACGGCCUUCGGGUUGUAAACCUCUUUCAGUAGGGAAGAAGCGAAAGUGACGGUACCUGCAGAAGAAGCACCGGCUA
rnacentral:rRNA from 1 species